AACCGCGAUAAGGGGACCUCGAGUGCCAGCAUACAAUGUUGGCUGUCCAGAUGCCUAAAAAGCAUUUGAUAGCAAGGGCCGGGCAAGACCGGUGCCAGCCGCCGCGGUAACACCGGCGGCUCGAGUGGUAACCGCUAUUAUUGGGUUUAAAGGGUCUGUAGCCGGCUGGAUAAGUCUCUUGGGAAAUCUGGCAGCUUAACUGUCAGGCUGCUAGGAGAUACUGUUCGGCUUGGGACCGGGAGAGGUGAGAGGUACCUCAGGGGUAGGGGUGAAAUCUUGUAAUCCUUGAGGGACCACCAGUGGCGAAGGCGUCUCACCAGAACGGGUCCGACGGCAAGGGACGAAAGCUAGGGGCACGAACCGGAUUAGAUACCCGGGUAGUCCUAGCCGUAAACGAUACUCGCUAGGUGUCGGCCACGGUGCGACCGUGGU
rnacentral:rRNA from 1 species